rnacentral:rRNA from 1 species
UUGAGUGCAGUUGAGGCAGGCGGAAUUCGUGGUGUAGCGGUGAAAUGCUUAGAUAUCACGAAGAACUCCGAUUGCGAAGGCAGCUUACUAAACUGUAACUGACAUUGAUGCUCGAAAGUGUGGGUAUCAAACAGGAUUAGAUACCCUGGUAGUCCACACGGUAAACGAUGAAUACUCGCUGUUUGCGAUAUACAGUAAGCGGCCAAGCGAAAGCGUUAAGUAUUCCACCUGGGGAGUACGCCGGCAACGGUGAAACUCAAAGGAAUUGACGGGGGCCCGCACAAGCGGAGGAACAUGUGGUUUAAUUCGAUGAUACGCGAGGAACCUUACCCGGGCUUAAAUUGCAGACGAAUUACGAGGAAACUUGUAAGCCGCAAGGCGUCUGUGAAGGUGCUGCAUGGUUGUCGUCAGCUCGUGCCGUGAGGUGUCGGCUUAAGUGCCAUAACGAGCGCAACCCUUGUUGUCAGUUACUAACAGGUUCAGCUGAGGACUCUGACAAGACUGCCAUCGUAAGAUGUGAGGAAGGUGGGGAUGACGUCAAAUCAGCACGGCCCUUACGUCCGGGGCUACACACGUGUUACAAUGGGGGGUACAGAGGGCCGCUACCACGCGAGUGGAUGCCAAUCCCCAAAACCUCUCUCAGUUCGGACUGGAGUCUGCAACCCGACUCCACGAAGCUGGAUUCGCUAGUAAUCGCGCAUCAGCCA